rnacentral:rRNA from 1 species
GGACUACCCGGGUAUCUAAUCCUGUUUGCUCCCCACGCUUUCGCACCUAAGUGUCAAUAUUGGUCCAGGUAGCCGCUUUCGCCACUGGUGUUCCUUCCGAUAUCUACGCAUUUCACCGCUACACCGGAAAUUCCACUACCCUCUACCAUAUUCUAGACAUCCAGUCUCGGAAGCAAUUCCUAGGUUAAGCCCAGGGCUUUCACUUCCGACUUAAAUAUCCACCUACGUGCGCUUUACGCCCAGUAAUUCCGAUUAACGCUUGCACCCUCUGUAUUACCGCGGCUGCUGGCAC